rnacentral:lncRNA from 1 species
GCCUCCCCGCCUCCGCUCCCCAAGUGCCCAGAGCCCCAGACCCCAGUCCCCGACCUCCCGCCCCAGGAUCCCCACAUCCACCGCCUCGGCUCCCGCCCAAUCCCGGAGCCCGGCUGGGUGGAGCCCGCGGGUGGGCGCCGUGGUCAGGGUGGGGCCCGCCCCUCCCCACCCGCGGGCUGGCCGGGAGGGGGAGGGGGUCGCGAAGCCUCACCUACAGCUCCGCCCCUCCCCGGGGGCGCGUCGCCCAGCCCAGCCCGGGCCGUGAGCAAGAAGCUGGGCAGGAAAGGCGAAAGCCUCAGCGCUAGCGACACGGGGGAAGCUCUGGGUCCCGCGCGACUUCCGCGCUGCCGCCGCCGUCGCGCCCGUCUCACCCUUCUCAGGGCUGCCGCUGCUGCUGCUGCCGCCGCUGCCGCCCGGGCGCCGCCGCCGCCACUACCGCCGCCACCGCCACUACCGCCGCCGCCGCCACAGCACGGCCCGGGCGCCCGCGACGUCACCGCGCCCCGCCCCCUGCGCGAGACACCUAGCCCCGCCCCCAGCCCCGCCGCGGGCGCAGCGCGCCUUCCCGGGCUCCCGGCCCGGCUGCCUCCCUUUCCCUCAGCCUCCCGGGAGCGUGACGCGGCGGCCGGGGGGCCUCCGGGCGCCUUCCGGGGCACGCGGGUGAGGAACUGGGAAGCGGGGGAAAUUCGGCGCCGCGGCGGUCGAUCAGCACCGAAACCGAGCGAGGGGCGCGGAGUGGCCCUGCGUACACAGACGCGUACCCACUCACACACACGACCCCUGCGGUCCGGGAGGGGAGAGCCGGGGUCGGCUCCGCGAGCGCGGGGCGGCGUUUGUCUCUUCCCGCUUGCCGUAGGAAGUGGACGCUGGAAGCCCGAGGAGCCGCGUCGCGUCUUCCCGAAGCUAAGUGGCGCCCCGCCCCCUUCUUCCCGUGGCCCGUUACCCGCGCCCGGGGCCGCCCAGCGCCGCGGGACCAGCGCGGGGACCGACCGUGGCUGCUUGGGGCACGCUUUGUUCCACCAAAGCUGGUUUUUUGCCCCUUAG